rnacentral:rRNA from 1 species
AUGGGACUUGAAGAUGAUGCCAACAACUUUUCCAUGGUCCAAACGGGAUUGGGCAUACAUGAUGAAGAUUAUUUCAACACACCAAAAACAACCAGUAGCCUCCCUGUGUGUGGGUCAACUUAUGAGCCCGAGUGUGAUGAUAGCCUACAACCCUCAAUUGGUAUGCGAUUUGAUAGCUGGGAGGCAGGUUUGGCAUUCUAUAGAAUGUAUGCCCAUGAGGUUGGCUUCUCUGUACGCAUAUGGACACAACACAAAGGAGAGGGUGGUGUAAUAAUUUGGAAGAAGUUUGUUUGCGCAAGAGAAGGUUGUAGGAAGGAAAAAUCAGUGGACAUUGGCCAAGAUACUCAAGAAAUGCAGAGAAAAAAGGUUAAAAGAAAUAUCAACAUAACCAGAUGCGGUUGUGAGGCUAUGAUCAGAUUGAAGAGGCAGGAUGGCGGCAAGUACGAGGUCGUCUAG